CCGGGCCCUCCGCGGGGCGCCGGCGUCUGCGCCAAGGCACGUUCUCCUGCUGCUCCAGAACUGCCACCUUCCAAGUCCUGAAGGAGGCCGUUUUCCUGUCAUUUGCACCUGGCCGGAGCCAUUCUGGAUGUUUUAAGGAAACGAGAAAACCAUUCUUUCCUCUUACCGGAUGAUGUGCGAUGUCAUUUGGAAACAAAGAAGGGCUCUGUUUCUUGGAGCCCCUGGGUUCUGUCUGCAAGAGGGGCAGUCAUGAGGCUUGCAAGAAUCUCCUGUGCGAACCUCUUCUGUGCAGACACCUUCCCACCCAACCUCAACAGAGCCCUGUGGGCCUCCCACGCUGUGUAAGUGCGCGGACUCAUCUGAGUGCCACUAGGGGACACAGCCCAGAUUCAAGCUGGGAUCCCCAUAAUAUGUGCACCUGCAGCCAGGUGUGCCUAUAGAACCACAAAUGCGACAGGCUGUAAAUGAAAAUACAGCAGAAUCAGAUCUGUCCAAUAAAUCCUGAUUGAAGGCCAGAACUGAAAGUAUUUCUUCUGAGGCUGAGAAAAAUUCCAUCUCAAACAUUGAAAGGGUAGAAAUAGGCAGUGAAGUCCUAGUGCCUGCUCUGUUUGGCCUUUCUGGGUUAAAAACAUACUUAAAAUUGAGUGACUCUGUUGUGGAAUAAAAUCCAAACAAUCUGGGUUGAAAAAGACUGCUUAGGGGUGUGUGGGUCACAGUGAUGCUAAGGGUAUUCUUUUUUUUUUUUUUUUUUUUUUUUGAGACGGAGUCUUGCUGUUUCGCCCAGGCCAGAGUGCAGUGGCGCUGUCUUGGCUCACUGCAAGCUCUGCCUCCCAGGUUCAUGCCAUUCUCCCGCCUCAGCCUCCCGAGUAGCUGGGACUACAGGCGCUUGCCACCGCGUCCGGCUAAUUUUUUGUAUUUUUAGUAGAGACGGGGUUUCACCAUGUUCGCCAGGAUGGUCUCGAUCUCCUGACCUCGUGAUCUGCCCGCCUCGGCCUCCCAAAGUGCUGGGAUUACAGGCAUGAGCCACUGCGCCCGGCCCGCUAAGGGUAUUCUUGAUAUCCGCUGGGAUAAUGUGACCACAGGACACCUUGCUUGCUUUCUCCAAGAAUCUCAAGAAGACUACAAACCCCAAGAAGGGAGGCAUCUUGUUCAAGAUCAUGUUGGGGAUAGAAGACAGAGUGAGAAUGAGAAAGCAGAGAUGUUCAUUUGUUUUAUGAACAUUUACUUAUCUGCCAAGGUCUGUAGCCCUGGCCUUCCCUGUGAAGAGCAGCAGCCUGAACCAACGUUCAGUGGCCGGGGCUGCCGAGCCAGGACCUUACGGGGCUGCAGCCUGUGCUGACCCAGGGCCUCCACAGUGCUUUGCUUGCAGAUCCCCC
rnacentral:lncRNA from 10 species